CUAUCUACAGGCUUAACACAUGCAAGUCGAGGGGCAGCAUGGUCUUAGCUUGCUAAGGCCGAUGGCGACCGGCGCACGGGUGAGUAACACGUAUCCAACCUGCCGUCUACUCUUGGACAGCCUUCUGAAAGGAAGAUUAAUACAAGAUGGCAUCAUGAGUCCGCAUGUUCACAUGAUUAAAGGUAUUCCGGUAGACGAUGGGGAUGCGUUCCAUUAGAUAGUAGGCGGGGUAACGGCCCACCUAGUCUUCGAUGGAUAGGGGUUCUGAGAGGAAGGUCCCCCACAUUGGAACUGAGACACGGUCCAAACUCCUACGGGAGGCAGCAGUGAGGAAUAUUGGUCAAUGGGCGAGAGCCUGAACCAGCCAAGUAGCGUGAAGGAUGACUGCCCUAUGGGUUGUAAACUUCUUUUAUAAAGGAAUAAAGUCGGGUAUGGAUACCCGUUUGCAUGUACUUUAUGAAUAAGGAUCGGCUAACUCCGUGCCAGCAGCCGCGGUAAUACGGAGGAUCCGAGCGUUAUCCGGAUUUAUUGGGUUUAAAGGGAGCGUAGAUGGAUGUUUAAGUCAGUUGUGAAAGUUUGCGGCUCAACCGUAAAAUUGCAGUUGAUACUGGAUAUCUUGAGUGCAGUUGAGGCAGGCGGAAUUCGUGGUGUAGCGGUGAAAUGCUUAGAUAUCACGAAGAACUCCGAUUGCGAAGGCAGCCUGCUAAGCUGCAACUGACAUUGAGGCUCGAAAGUGUGGGUAUCAAACAGGAUUAGAUACCCUGGUAGUCCACACGGUAAACGAUGAAUACUCGCUGUUUGCGAUAUACUGCAAGCGGCCAAGCGAAAGCGUUAAGUAUUCCACCUGGGGAGUACGCCGGCAACGGUGAAACUCAAAGGAAUUGACGGGGGCCCGCACAAGCGGAGGAACAUGUGGUUUAAUUCGAUGAUACGCGAGGAACCUUACCCGGGCUUAAAUUGCAGAUGAAUUACGGUGAAAGCCGUAAGCCGCAAGGCAUCUGUGAAGGUGCUGCAUGGUUGUCGUCAGCUCGUGCCGUGAGGUGUCGGCUUAAGUGCCAUAACGAGCGCAACCCUUGUUGUCAGUUACUAACAGGUUCCGCUGAGGACUCUGACAAGACUGCCAUCGUAAGAUGUGAGGAAGGUGGGGAUGACGUCAAAUCAGCACGGCCCUUACGUCCGGGGCUACACACGUGUUACAAUGGGGGGUACAGAGGGCCGCUACCACGCGAGUGGAUGCCAAUCCCCAAAACCUCUCUCAGUUCGGACUGGAGUCUGCAACCCGACUCCACGAAGCUGGAUUCGCUAGUAAUCGCGCAUCAGCCACGGCGCGGUGAAUACGUUCCCGGGCCUUGUACACACCGCCCGUCAAGCCAUGGGAGCCGGGGGUACCUGAAGUGCGUAACCGCGAGGAGCGCCCUAGGGUAAAACUGGUGACUGGGGCUA
rnacentral:rRNA from 1 species